rnacentral:rRNA from 1 species
ACACAUGCAGUCGAGCGGGGAUAGGGUGCUUGCAACUGAUUCCUAGCGGCGGACGGGUGAGUAAUGCUUAGGAAUCUGCCUAUUAGUGAGGGACAACGUUCCGAAAGGGACGCUAAUACCGCAUACGUCCUACGGAAGAAAGCAGGUGAUCUUCGGACCUUGGCGCUAAAUAGAUGACCCUAAGUCGGAUUAGCUAGUUGGUGGGGUAAAGGCCUACCAAUGGCGACGAUCUGUAACGAUGCUGAGAGGAUGAUGCGCCACAGUGCGACUAGACAUGGACCCAGACUCCUACUGGACGCAUCAGUGGGGAACAUUGCACAAUGGAGCCAACUCUGAUCCAGCCAUGCCGCGUGUGUGAGAAGGCCUUUUGAUGGUAAAGCACUUUAACCACGAGAGGCUUACAGGAUAAUACCCGGUAUAUGUGAUCGUACCUCGCAGAUUACACUGGC